GUGGGAACAGUUCAGUUGGGAGAACAUUAGAUUAAAGAUCUGAAGGUCGCGUGUUUGAUUCACGUUCAUCGAACUCACA
rnacentral:tRNA from 1 species